GAUGAAGAACGUAGUGAAAUGCGAUAAGUAAUGUGAAUUGCAUAAUUCAGUGAAUCAUCGAAUCUUUGAACGCACCUUGCACCCUUUGGCAUUCCGAAGGGUAUGCUCGUUUGAGUGUCAUUGUACUCUCACACUUCCAAUCUUUGGAUUGGGAGCAGUGGACUUGGGUGUUGCUGCUUACUGUGGCUCACCUCAAAUCGAUUCGUGCACCUCUUGGUUGGACAUAGUACGGCGUGAUAAGUGUCUUCGCCGGCACCUCAGUAGAGGGUGGCUGAUCAGGAGCUCUGUGCUUCAAACCGUCCUCGGACAACAACUGACAACUUGACCUCAAAUCGAGUAGGACUACCCGCUGAACUUAAGCAUAUCAAUAAGCGGAGGA
rnacentral:misc_RNA from 1 species